AGCAGUACCACGGGAAUACGAGGGGGGCAAGCGUUGUUCGGAAUUAUUGGGCGUAAAGGGCGCGUAGGCGGUCUGGCAAGUUUGGUGUGAAAUCUUCGGGCUCAACUCGAAGUCUGCAUCGAAAACUGCCGGGCUUGAGUAUGGGAGAGGUGAGUGGAAUUUCCGGUGUAGCGGUGAAAUGCGUAGAUAUCGGAAGGAACACCUGUGGCGAAAGCGGCUCACUGGACCAUAACUGACGCUGAGGCGCGAAAGCUAGGGGAGCAAACAGGAUUAGAGACCCCAGUAGUCCCUGUCUCUUAUACA
rnacentral:rRNA from 1 species